rnacentral:lncRNA from 1 species
AACCCCAGAGCAUUGAGGAGGUUGAGGACUGCUUGUGAGAGAGCAAAGAGGACUCUUUCAUCGACCGCUCAAACUACCAUCGAGAUCGAUUCAUUGUACGAGGGUAUUGACUUUUACACCACGAUAACUCGUGCAAGGUUUGAGGAGCUCAACAUGGAUCUUUUUAGGAAGUGUAUGGAGCCAGUUGAGAAGUGUUUGAGGGAUGCUAAGAUGGAUAAGAGCAGUGUCCAUGAUGUUGUUCUUGUUGGUGGUUCCACUCGUAUUCCUAAAGUGCAGCAGUUGUUGCAAGACUUCUUCAACGGGAAGGAGCUCUGCAAGAGCAUUAAUCCUGAUGAGGCCGUUGCUUAUGGUGCUGCGGUUCAGGCUGCUAUCUUGAGUGGUGAAGGAAAUGAGAAGGUUCAGGAUCUAUUGCUUUUGGAUGUCACUCCUUUGUCCCUUGGACUCGAAACUGCUGGUGGUGUUAUGACUGUUUUGAUUCCGAGAAACACUACCAUUCCCACCAAGAAGGAGCAGGUGUUUUCAACUUACUCUGAUAACCAACCUGGUGUCUUGAUCCAAGUUUAUGAGGGUGAGAGAGCUCGAACCCGGGACAAUAAUUUGUUGGGUAAAUUCGAGCUCUCUGGCAUUCCACCAGCACCCAGAGGCGUUCCCCAAAUUACAGUUUGCUUCGACAUUGAUGCUAAUGGCAUCUUGAAUGUCUCUGCCGAGGACAAGACUACUGGCCAGAAGAACAAGAUUACUAUAACAAACGACAAGGGUCGGUUGUCGAAGGAAGAAAUCGAGAAGAUGGUUCAAGAAGCCGAGAAGUACAAGUCCGAGGAUGAGGAGCACAAGAAGAAGGUUGAAGCCAAGAAUUCAUUGGAGAACUAUGCCUACAACAUGAGGAAUACUAUCAAGGAUGAGAAGAUUGGUUCAAAGCUUGACCCGGCUGACAAGAAGAAGAUUGAAGAU